rnacentral:lncRNA from 1 species
UUUAUGUGGUGCUGAGGAUUGAACCCAGUUCCUCACAAGUGCUAGGCGAGCGCUCUACCACUGAGCCACAACCCCAGCCCCUGACCCACCACUUUUGUCCACCUCCUUUGUUCUCUUGUCUUGGCCAUAAAUAAACUUAAAAAGACAUUAACUGGGACUGGGGUUGUGGCUCAGGGGUAGAGCAAUUGCCUAACAAGAGUGAGGCACUGGGUUUGAUCCUCAACAUCAUAUAAAAUUAAAUAAAGGGGUACUAUCCAUCUACAACUAAAAUGUUUGGGGAAAAAAAGACAUUAACUGAAGAGCUAAAUAGAAUUGUUCAUAAUGCCUUCACUUAAGCAAUUUGCCUUGGUAUCUGGUCUCCUUUACUCUGGGAAGCUUUUCCUAACCCUUCACACUCCAGCGUGGAUUAGGGGCUCCUCAUUUAUUUACCCUUACUUUAGUGCUGAAUAAUUCUGUAUUAUAUUUGCAAGUUUAAGGGUAUAUUUGCCUCAGUUAAUGUAAACUCCAUGUGGGCAUGGAUCAUGCACCACUCCUCACUAUUGUGUUUCUUGCAUGUGGCAUACAGUUGGUGCUUAAUAAAUACUUGUUGAGGAUGGGAAUGAGUGUAGUGAUGGAACACUUACCUAACAUAUGUGACGCCCUGGGUUCCGUCCUCAGUACCAUAAAUAAAUAAAUGAAUAAAUACGUGUUGAAGCUGAGCAUGGUAGUGCAUGCCUAUAAAACAGCUACUAUGGGGCUGGGGCUGUGGCUCAGUGGUAGAGCACUCGCCUACAGGUGCAAGGCACUGGGUUCGAUCCUCAGCACCAACUAAAUAAAGAUAUUGUGUCCAACUGCAACUAAAAAAAUGUUUAAAAAAAUAGCGAGGCUGAGGCAGGAGGAUUGCAAGUUUGAGAAUAAGCUAGGUAACUUAGUGAGAUUCUGUCUCAAAAUGAGAAAUAAAAAGCUGGGGAUGUGGCUCCGGUAGGAUUACCUGGGUCAAAUCCCCACUAUAGAGAAAGUUUUGUUGGAAGGACGUGUGAGUGAGUAUGAAGUGUACCUUCACCAGGCCCCUUUAGCCCUUGCUCUUCCUUUCCCACAGCUGUGUUCCACCUCCACCCUGUUGCUGUCUCCCAUUAAUAUGUACAUGUUGCUCAGUUAAACCCACUCUGCUUGCUACUGGCUAUGUGAAAAAUGGCUGAAUAGAGAGGAUUUCUUUUAGUGUUAUAUCAGAAAUGCCUGCAUAUUUUUCUUCAAGCCUUCAUUUUAACAAAGUAAACAUGAAGACUUUCUGUUACUUGAGUUAGUAUUACUCGAAUAUGGAAUUUCCCUGGUGAAGUGGUUCUUUGCUUGCAGCUAAUAUUGAAAUAGAAGCAGUUUUGUAAGGAUGACCAACUUUUAAGAGAAGAGGCUUUAGAAGGGGCUCUAGUUUGAGUGUUUUCGUUUGAUUGUAUUUUACGUUGGGAAGUCAUCACUUCUCAGAAGAUCAUGACAGUAGUGUGAAGUCCCAGUUUAGGAGGCACUAAAAAUUUUUCUUUUUUUGCUCCCUGCUCAGUUACUGUCAUCCUCCCAGCUAUAUUAAUUCUUAACACAUCUUCUGUGAUAAAUGUAGGUGCUCUGGAGCAGGGCACUCCAGAAUCCAUGUUUUGUUUACCUGCCUUAGUCUUUGGCCUCUACGUUGGCCUCUAUUUCUGUCAAUAUUUCCUUUUCCCUUUUUUACAUUCAUGUUGAAAAGCUGCUCUGGCAUUCAGAAGCUGGAAUUUAGAUUCUUUUUAAAAAUUUUUAUUUUGAUUUGUUAUAUAUGACAGCAGAAUGCAUUAUAAUUCACAUUACAUAUUUAGAGCACAAUUUUUCAUAUCUCUGGCUGUAUAUAAAGUAUAUUCACACCAUUCGUGUCUUCAUACAUGUACUUUGGAUAAUCAUGUCUCUUACAUUCCACCAUCAUUUCUAACCCCAUGCCCCUUCCCCUCCCCUCCUACCCCUUUGCCCUAUCUAGAGUUUGUCUAUUCCUCCCAUGCUCCUCCUUGAUGCUG